rnacentral:rRNA from 1 species
GAGCUUGCUCCCUGAUGUUAGCGGCGGACGGGUGAGUAACACGUGGGUAACCUGCCUGUAAGACUGGGAUAACUCCGGGAAACCGGGGCUAAUACCGGAUGGUUGUUUGAACCGCAUGGUUCAAACAUAAAAGGUGGCUUCGGCUACCACUUACAGAUGGACCCGCGGCGCAUUAGCUAGUUGGUGAGGUAANGGCUCACCAAGGCAACGAUGCGUAGCCGACCUGAGAGGGUGAUCGGCCACACUGGGACUGAGACACGGCCCAGACUCCUACGGGAGGCAGCAGUAGGGAAUCUUCCGCAAUGGACGAAAGUCUGACGGAGCAACGCCGCGUGAGUGAUGAAGGUUUUCGGAUCGUAAAGCUCUGUUGUUAGGGAAGAACAAGUACCGUUCGAAUAGGGCGGUACCUUGACGGUACCUAACCAGAAAGCCACGGCUAACUACGUGCCAGCAGCCGCGGUAAUACGUAGGUGGCAAGCGUUGUCCGGAAUUAUUGGGCGUAAAGGGCUCGCAGGCGGUUUCUUAAGUCUGAUGUGAAAGCCCCCGGCUUAACCGGGGAGGGUCAUUGGAAACUGGGGAACUUGAUCC